GAUGAACGCUAGCUACAGGCUUAACACAUGCAAGUCGAGGGGAAACGAUAUUGGAAGCUUGCUUCCGAUAGGCGUCGACCGGCGCACGGGUGAGUAACGCGUAUCCAACCUGCCCACCACUUGGGGAUAACCUUGCGAAAGUAAGACUAAUACUCAAUGAUGUCCAUAGAAGACAUCUGAAAUGGAUUAAAGAUUUAUCGGUGAUGGAUGGGGAUGCGUCUGAUUAGCUUGUUGGCGGGGUAACGGCCCACCAAGGCGACGAUCAGUAGGGGUUCCGAGAGGAAGGUCCCCCACAUUGGAACUGAGACACGGUCCAAACUCCUACGGGAGGCAGCAGUGAGGAAUAUUGGUCAAUGGGCGAGAGCCUGAACCAGCCAAGUAGCGUGCAGAAUGACGGCCCUAUGGGUUGUAAACUGCUUUUAUAAGGGAAUAAAGUGAGCCUCGUGAGGCUUUUUGCAUGUACCUUAUGAAUAAGGACCGGCUAAUUCCGUGCCAGCAGCCGCCGCGG
rnacentral:rRNA from 1 species